GACGGAGGGUGCAAACGUUGUUCGGAAUUACUGGGCAUAAAGAGCACGUAGGCGGUUCGCUAAGUUGGGUGUGAAAGCCCCCGGCUCAACCGGGGAAUUGCUCCCGAUACUGGCGGACUAGAGAUCGGUAGGGGUGAGUGGAACUCCAGGUGGAGCGGUGAAAUGCGUAGAUAUCUGGAGGAACACCGGUGGCGAAAGCGGCUCACUGGACCGUAACUGACGCUGAGGUGCGAAAGCUAGGGUAGCGAACGGG
rnacentral:rRNA from 1 species